UACGUAGGGGGCAAGCGUUAUCCGGAUUCAUUGGGCGUAAAGCGCGCGUAGGCGGCUUGCUAAGUCAGAUGUGAAAACCGGAGGCUUAACCUGCGGCCUGCAUCUGAAACUGGCAGGCUUGAGUCUGGUAGAGGGAAGUGGAAUUCCCAGUGUAGCGGUGAAAUGCGCAGAUAUUGGGAGGAACACCGGUGGCGAAGGCGGCUUCCUGGGCCACGACUGACGCUGAGGCGCGAAAGCGUGGGGAGCAAACAGG
rnacentral:rRNA from 1 species